UGAGGAUGUUAGCUGAGAAGAGGGAGUCCUGAAAUGCCAGUUAACCCAGCAGAAGUUGAUAAGCUCACUCACAGCCAGGGACAUGGUUUCCCAGGUAUACAGUUCUAUUGUAAAGGAGGCGAUGGGUUUCUUCUCCUCUGCCGACCCACUGGAUUUUAUAAGAAAAGCCAGUGGGCUCCCAGACAAAGUUAAAAAGAUCCAUCAUCAAUGUGGUUCCUUUUCUCUGCACCAUAAAUAACAGCUGAGGAAGGGGAACAUCUCCCACAACACGGUGGCAUCGAACUUUAACCAAUUUUGGAAUAUAGUGUUUGUUAAGCCUUCUUGGGAUGGGAGCCAAGAGUACCUGCGUGCCCAUCAUUUGUCUCAUGGCCUUCCAGGUUUUGGACGAAGACACUCCAAGUCUAAGCAUAGAGAAAUUUGCAUCUGAUUUCAGUUGUACUUGCCAGAUGGAAGAUGGACUUUUGUAGGUUUUUAUAUAUGGCUCAUCUGGGUUGGCCCCAGUUUAUGUCCCUGGUUCCAGUUAAAUUAUUAAAAGCAA
rnacentral:lncRNA from 10 species